UCUGGUAAUUCUUCAUUAUAUUUUUUCACUGAAUUUGCUGAUUUUGCCUUUGUUUUCUCUAUUUUCUUGUUUUACAGAUUUCUCCCACGGUGUUAAAAUUGACCAGCCUCAAUUUAUUUCAAGCCAUAAAGGAUUUGCAUUUGCGACUCUGAAAUGUGAACAAGAUGACAGACAACAUUACUACAUGUACUGGAAAAGUGGAGAGUGUUACCUUUGAACAGUCAUCUGCUCAAGUUGUGAACACAGGGACUGAGGAGCUCAGGAUUAUCUGCAGUCAUGAUGACAGCAACUUACAAGUAAUGCUGUGGUACCAGCACAAGCAGAGUGAUCAGGCGAUCAGCCUCAUUGGGUACACAGUGCCUGUGGGUGAACCAAACUAUGAGAGCCAGUUCACAGACCGGUUUCAGAUAAAAAGAGACGACACAGUGAAAGGCUCUCUGAUCAUCAAAAACCUUAAUCUGUCAGACUCAGCUGUGUAUUUCUGUGCUGCCAGCACACAGUGACAUGUUUCAUGUCCCCGCUAUACUAAAAACCUC